UACAGAGGGUGCGAGCGUUGUCCGGAAUCACUGGGCGUAAAGGGCGCGUAGGUGGCGUCGCAAGUCGAUGGUGAAAGCUCGGCGCUCAACGCCGAGUCGGCCCCUUGAUACUGCGAGGCUGGAGCACUGUAGAGGCUAAUGGAAUUCCGGGUGUAGCGGUGGAAUGCGUAGAGAUCCGGAAGAACACCGGUGGCGAAGGCGGUUAGCUGGGGCAGUUGCUGACACUGAGGCGCGAUAGCGUGGGGGAGCAAACAGG
rnacentral:rRNA from 1 species